rnacentral:rRNA from 1 species
CAGUAGCGGCGAGUGAAGCGGCAAAAGCUCAAAUUUGAAAUCUGGCGUCUUUGGCGUCCGAGUUGUAAUUUGAAGAAGGUAUCUUUGGGCCCGGCUCUUGUCUAUGUUCCUUGGAACAGGACGUCACAGAGGGUGAGAAUCCCGUGCGAUGAGAUGACCCGGGUCUGUGUAAAGUUCCUUCGACGAGUCGAGUUGUUUGGGAAUGCAGCUCUAAGUGGGUGGUAAAUUCCAUCUAAAGCUAAAUAUUGGCGAGAGACCGAUAGCGAACAAGUACAGUGAUGGAAAGAUGAAAAGAACUUUGAAAAGAGAGUGAAAAAGUACGUGAAAUUGUUGAAAGGGAAGGGCUUGAGAUCAGACUUGGUAUUUUGCAUGCUGCUCUCUCGGGGGCGGCCGCUGCGGUUUACCGGGCCAGCAUCGGUUUGGAGCGGCAGGAUAAUGGCGGAGGAAUGUGGCACGGCUUCUGCUGUGUGUUAUAGCCUCUGACGAUACUGCCAGCCUAGACCGAGGACUGCGGUUUUUACCUAGGAUGUUGGCAUAAUGAUCUUAAGUCGCCCGUCUU